GACACUGUGGCGGAGUGGUUAACGCGGUGCCCUGCUAAGGCAUUGCCUUCGGGCGCGCAGGUUCGAAUCCUGCCGGUGUCG
rnacentral:tRNA from 13 species